AUUACACAAAUAUGAAGGCGGGCUGGAACCUCUCGGGGUUACAGCCUUGCKGAAUUAUUCACCCUUGUCUUUUGCGUACUUCUUGUUUCCUUGGUGGGUUCGCCCACCACUAGGACAAACAUAAACCUUUUGUAAUUGCAAUCAGCGUCAGUAACAAAUUAAUAAUUACAACUUUCAACAACGGAUCUCUUGGUUCUGGCAUCGAUGAAGAACGCAGCGAAAUGCGAUAAGUAGUGUGAAUUGCAGAAUUCAGUGAAUCAUCGAAUCUUUGAACGCACAUUGCGCCCUUUGGUAUUCCAAAGGGCAUGCCUGUUCGAGCGUCAUUUGUACCCUCAAGCUUUGCUUGGUGUUGGGCGUCUUGUCUCUAGCUUUGCUGGAGACUCGCCUUAAAGUAAUUGGCAGCCGGCCUACUGGUUUCGGAGCGCAGCACAAGUCGCACUCUCUAUCAGCAAAGGUCUAGCAUCCAUUAAGCCUUUUUUUCAACUUUUGACCUCGGAUCAGGUAGGGAUACCCGCUGAACUUAAGCAUAUCAAUAAGCGGAGGAAAAGAAACCAACAGGGAUUGCCCUAGUAACGGCGAGUGAAGCGGCAACAGCUCAAAUUUGAAAUCUGGCUCUUUUAGAGUCCGAGUUGUAAUUUGCAGAGGGCGCUUUGGCUUUGGCAGCGGUCCAAGUUCCUUGGAACAGGACGUCACAGAGGGUGAGAAUCCCGUACGUGGUCGCUGGCUAUUGCCGUGUAAAGCCCCUUCGACGAGUCGAGUUGUUUGGGAAUGCAGCUCUAAAUGGGAGGUACAUUUCUUCUAAAGCUAAAUAUUGGCCAGAGACCGAUAGCGCACAAGUAGAGUGAUCGAAAGAUGAAAAGCACUUUGGAAAGAGAGUCAAACAGCACGUGAAAUUGUUGAAAGGGAAGCGCUUGCAGCCAGACUUGCUUACAGUUGCUCAUCCGGGUUUCUACCCGGUGCACUCUUCUGUAGGCAGGCCAGCAUCAGUUUGGGCGGUAGGAUAAAGGUCUCUGUCACGUACCUCCUUUCGGGGAGGCCUUAUAGGGGAGACGACAUACUACCAGCCUGGACUGA
rnacentral:rRNA from 1 species